UAUUGCACAAUGGGCGAAAGCCUGAUGCAGCGACGCCGCGUGAGGGAUGACGGCCUUCGGGUUGUAAACCUCUUUCAGCAGGGAAGAAGCGAAAGUGACGGUACCUGCAGAAGAAGCGCCGGCUAACUACGUGCCAGCAGCCGCGGUAAAACGUAGGAGGCAAGCGUUAUCCGGAGUGACUGGGCGUAAAGCGCAUGUAGGCGGUUGGGCAAGUGGCGUGUGAAAGCGCUCGGCUAAACUGAGCGAGGACAGGUCAGACUGCCGAACUGGAGUCCGAUAGAGGAGCGUAGAAUUCCGGGUGUAGCGGUGAAAUGUGUAGAGAUCCGGAGGAAUACCAGUGGCGCAAGCGGCGCUCUGGGUCGGGACUGACGCUGAGAUGCGAAAGCGUGGGGAGCGAAC
rnacentral:rRNA from 1 species